UUGACCUCAAAUCGGGUGGGACUACCCGCUGAACUUAAGCAUAUCAAUAAGCGGAGGAAAAGAAACUAACAAGGAUUCCCCUAGUAACGGCGAGUGAAGAGGGAAAAGCUCAAAUUUUGAAUCUGGUGUCUUUGACUCCCGAGUUGUAAUCUAGAGAAGUGUUUUCCGUGUCGGACCGUGCACAAGUUCCCUGGAACGGGGCGUCAUAGAGGGUGAGAAUCCCGUAUAUGGCACGGACCGCCGAUGCUUUGUGAUACACUCUCAACGAGUCGAGUUGUUUGGGAAUGCAGCUCAAAAUGGGUGGUAAAUUCCAUCUAAAGCUAAAUAUUGGCGAGAGACCGAUAGCGAACAAGUACCGUGAGGGAAAGAUGAAAAGCACUUUGGAAAGAGAGUGAAACAGUACGUGAAAUUGUUGAAAGGGAAGCGUUUGAAGUCAGUCAUGUCUGUCGGGAUUCAACUCGGCUUUUGCCCGGUGUACUUUUCGUCCGACGGGUCAGCAUCAAUUUCGACCGAGGGAAAAAGAUGUGAGGAAUGUGGCUGUCUUCGGGCAGUGUUAUAGCCUCCGCAUUGUAUGCCUCGGUUGGGAUUGAGGAACGCAGCGCGCCUAUAGGCCAGGGGCUACCCGCCUCUUGACACGCGCUUAGGAUG
rnacentral:rRNA from 1 species